GUGCACCUACGGGGCGCAGCAGUCGGGAAUAUUGCGCAAUGGAGGAAACUCUGACGCAGUGACGCCGCGUAUAGGAAGAAGGUUUUCGGAUUGUAAACUAUUGUCGUUAGGGAAGAUACAAGACAGUACCUAAGGAGGAAGCCCCGGCUAACUAUGUGCCAGCAGCCGCGGUAAUACAUAGGGAGCGAGCGUUAUCCGGAUUUACUGGGUGUAAAGGGAGCGCAGGCGGCACGGCAAGCCUGAUGUGAAAGCCUGCGGCCCAACCGCGGGACUGCAUUGGGAACUACCGGGCUGGAGUGCCGGAG
rnacentral:rRNA from 1 species